CGGGAUUCGAACCAGCACCAGGAUGCGUGGAGGUAGAGAACCCAGCCAGCCAGCCACCCCGACAGCCAGACAGCCAGCUAGACAGACACGGACGGACAGACAGACAGCCAUUAUGCACCGAGGAGGGGGAAGGGCGUGAACGAGGAUGCAGGGAGCUUGCAGUGGGUGUGACUGAGGACGGCGCAGAAGGUUGAGUGCGCCUGAGAAGGUUGACCUGCCGUGGCGACCCAUGACGAGAGCAGCUAAGAGACGAGUUCCUGUCCUUGUACUGUGAGAGACGAAAUAUGGAUCACGUUGCGAGAAGAUAAUCGACGGAAUGUAAGUUUUUUUUUUAUUAUUAUUAUUACCUCUCAGUCAUGUUUGAUUUUUUUCAUGGUUACGUACAUUUCUGAUGUGUUCAACUAUACUCGUAGCUGCGCGCCCCUCGUACUGCAGAAGACAUCGAUAAAGA